AUGGCGGAGGAACCGUCCGGCAAGCGUCAUCAUGCCGAGACGUCGGACAAGAGGAGCAACCUCAUCGACAUUAGCGUCCCCGGCGAGAAGCGCGAGUACACAACAACCCUCAAAGGGGUUGAGCUCCACGGCAACGAGACGCUGGAGAUCGUCUGCACCAGCGAACCAGAAAAGGCCGACGAGGUGUUCUCCAGGCUUUGGAGGAUGCUUGGCGGCAGGUUUCGUAGGAUCGUCGGCGUUGGUGUGCACUACACCAACAAAGAUGAACCUCCCCAGAAGGCAGCAGUCCUCCAGUUGUGCGUCGACGAACUCUGCUUGGUGUACCACAUCGCAGCGGCCACAAAAUGGCCCAAGCGCCUGACCGAGAUGCUGCAGCAUGAGAAGUUGUUCACAUUUGCCGAUUUCAGCAUUGAAAGCGACAAAGAGAAGCUGAAGUUGUCCGGUAUGGAGAUCAACCCCAACAAGUUCAUCGACAUUCAGCGCAAGUGGAGAGUUCCAUACACCGGAAAAGAGUACGAAUCCUUGACUGAUGUUGCAGCCAGCGUCAUCCACCCAUUCUACAAAGGCAUGAAGAACAAGAUCAACAUGCAGGAAGACUACAAACUGUGGGGGACGAGCGAGCUGCUAGACAACCUCAUCGAAACCACCAUCGCCGCUUCCAUCUACACUGCACACAAACCAAAAACAUCUCUCUCCCAAGCCCACAGUCGCCGGAGCAAGGCGAUGGCGGAGGAACCGUCCGCCAAACGUCACCAUGGCGACACUUCGAACAAGAGCAGCAACCUCGCCGACGUUCACAUCCCCGGCGAGAAGCACGAGUACACCAAAACGCUCAAAGGGGUUGAGCUCCACGGCAAGGAGACGCUGGAGAUCGUCUGCACCAGUGAACCAGACAAGGCUGACCAGAUGAUGAGCAGGCCCAAGCGCCUCAAAGACUUCCUGCAGGAGGAGAAAUUGUACACAUUUGUUGGUUUCAGCAUUGGAGGUGACAAGCAGAAGCUGGGGAAGUCUGGUUUGGAAAUCAACCCCAACAACUUCAUCGACAUGCAGCGCAAGUGGAAAGAUCCAAAGACCAACAAAUACUACGACUCCUUGGCCGAUGUUGCAGGCGGCGUCAUCCACCCAUUCUACGAAGGCAUGAAGAAGAUGAUGAAGAGGGAAGACCACAAACUGUGGGGGACUAGCCCGCUGCCAGACAACCUCAUCACGUACGCAGGAAUAGAUGCGUACGCAAUGUACAAGUCA
rnacentral:rRNA from 1 species